rnacentral:tRNA from 1 species
UGUUUUAUAGUUUAAUUAAAAUAUUAAAUUGCAAAUUUAAUGAUGAUUUCAAAAAAUCUAAGACUU